CAGUCGCCACGGUAAUACGAAGGGCGCAAGCGUUACUCGGAAUUACUGGGCGUAAAGCGUGCGUAGGUGGUGGUUUAAGUCCGUUGUGAAAGCCCUGGGCUCAACCUGGGAAUUGCAGUGGAUACUGGAUCACUAGAGUGUGGUAGAGGAUAGUGGAAUUUCCGGUGUAGCAGUGAGAUGCGUAGAGAUCGGAAGGAACAUCUGUGGCGAAGGCGACUAUCUGGGCCAACACUGACACUGAGGCACGAAAGCGUGGGGAGCAAACAGGAUUAGAUACCCCGGUAGUCCCUGUCUCUUAUAC
rnacentral:rRNA from 1 species